rnacentral:rRNA from 1 species
AGUGAACGCUGGCGGUAGGCCUAACACAUGCAAGUCGAACGGCAGCACAGUAAGAGCUUGCUCUUACGGGUGGCGAGUGGCGGACGGGUGAGGAAUACAUCGGAAUCUACUUUUUCGUGGGGGAUAACGUAGGGAAACUUACGCUAAUACCGCAUACGACCUACGGGUGAAAGCAGGGGAUCUUCGGACCUUGCGCGAUUGAAUGAGCCGAUGUCGGAUUAGCUAGUUGGCGGGGUAAAGGCCCACCAAGGCGACGAUCCGUAGCUGGUCUGAGAGGAUGAUCGGCCACACUGGAACUGAGACACGGUCCAGACUCCUACGGGAGGCAGCAGUGGGGAAUAUUGGCCAAUGGGCGCAAGCCUGAUCCAGCCAUGCCGCGUGGGUGAAGAAGGCCUUCGGGUUGUAAAGCCCUUUUGUUGGGAAAGAAAAGCAGCAGGUUAAUACCCCGCUGUUCUGACGGUACCCAAAGAAUAAGCACCGGCUAACUUCGUG